rnacentral:rRNA from 1 species
CCUACGGGAGGCAGCAGUGAGGAAUAUUGGUCAAUGGGCGAAAGCCUGAACCAGCCAAGUAGCGUGCAGGAUGACGGCCCUACGGGUUGUAAUCUGCUUUUAUACAGGAAUAACGCGCCUUACGUGUAGGGCUUUGCAUGUACCGUAUGAAUAAGGAUCGGCUAAUUCCGUGCCAGCAGCCGCGGUAAUACGGAGGGUCCGGGCGUUAUCCGGAUUUAUUGGGUUUAAAGGGAGCGUAGGUGGCAUGUCAAGCCAGCUGUGAAAUGUCCGGGCUCAACCCGGACCUUGCAGCGGAAACUGGUAGGCUUGAGUCCACGUGAGGCAGGCGGAAUUCGUCGUGUAGCGGUGAAAUGCUUAGAUAUGACGAAGAACCCCGAUUGCGAAGGCAGCUUGCUGCAGCGGAACUGACAUUGAUGCUCGAAAGCGCGGGUAUCGAACAGGAUUAGAUACCCUGGUAGUC